rnacentral:rRNA from 1 species
GGAGGGGACGACGUCUGGUCAGCAUGGCCCUUACGGCCUGGGCGACACACGUGCUACAAUGCCCACUACAAAGCGAUGCCACCCGGCAACGGGAGCUAAUCGCAAAAAGGUGGGCCCAGUUCGGAUUGGGGUCUGCAACCCGACCCCAUGAAGCCGAAAUCGCUAGUAAUCGCGGAUCAGCACGCCGCGGUCGAAUACGUUCCGGCCUU